GCAAAAAAAAAAAUUGAUUUUCGCCAGGUCAGGGAGUGAGUCCCACUCCCAUGCAUGAUCAUCUUUUCACUCAUUCCAUACCAUUUUUUUUUUCAAUCACCACUCAAUCUUUUUCUCACUCGUUAUUAAGAGCACCCUUUUAAAAUUGAAUACUUGAUCUUUUUUUUUCACUUAUCAUUAAGGAUGCUCUUAAAACCCUACACAACUCGCAAGUCGCACCCCACUCCCCCCACCCCACCCACACAAGCACCUCACAAACAAAACCACCGUGAUACACCUACUAUUCAGUAUUCACCAUUUUGUUGGAUAGAAAUAGUCAAUAUUGGAGUGCUUAGUGCUUAGUCUUAGCAAGAUCACAAUAAAAUUGAAAUUCUUACCGAAGGCAGGGACGUCGAAGACAUCAAAAACUGAUUCAACGAAGAGGGAGAGUUGCAGAGGAGUGAGAAAAUAUGGCGGGGAAAGGAUCGAAGCGGCAACAACCGUCGCUUGUCACCACCAUUUACCUCUAUCUUCGUGCCGCCGAAUUUGAGAUUUUUUUCUUUCUCUUCUUCUUCAUCGCUUUCUUUUUCUUCAGGAAUCUCACAGCAAGACCUGAGUACAAUCAGAUUUUGGUGAAGAAGCCUCAACAUGAUUUCUAGCCUUUCUAAGAGAUCUUGACGAUGCUGUCAUAUAUUUUGUCUGAUUUUCCUUCAUUUUGAUUAUGCGUUUGAUUUUCGUAUUAUUCUUUCCUCUUAAAAUUGUAGUAUAGCUCGUUGCGAGUUGGUCAAUGAUGUAAAUCUAUUACCGGAAAAAGUAUAUGUUACUUCAUCUUGUCUGUGAAAUUUGAAUUAUGAGGAAGUCCUAGGAAAUGUUUUCCAGACAACUGGUUUAUGGUAGCAACUAGCAUGUUUGAAGAAA